CAAGUCGGACGGGAUUGGGGAGCUUGCUCCCCAUGAGAGUGGCGCACGGGUGCGUAACACGCUAUGUAACCUACCUUAGUCAGGGGGAUAGCCUCUCGAAAGAGAGAUUAACACCGCAUAACAUAAUUGGAUGGCAUCAUUUGAUUAUCAAAUAUUAAUAGGACUAAGAUGGGCAUGCGGGACAUUAACUAGAUGGUGAGGUAACGGCUCACCAUGGCCAUGAUGUCUAGGGGAUCUGAGAGGAUGACCCCCCACACUGGUACUGAGACACGGACCAGACUCCUACGGGAGGCAGCAGUAAGGAAUAUUGGUCAAUGGACGGAAGUCUGAACCAGCCAUGCCGCGUGCAGGAAGACGGCCCUACGGGUUGUAAACUGCUUUUGUACCGGAAUAAACCUCUUUACGUGUAAGGAGCUGAAUGUACGGUAAGAAUAAGGAUCGGCUAACUCCGUGCCAGCAGCCGCGGUAAUACGGAGGAUCCAAGCGUUAUCCGGAUUUAUUGGGUUUAAAGGGUGCGUAGGCGGCUUAUUAAGUCAGGGGUGAAAGGCGGUAGCUUAACUAUCGGAGUGCCUUUGAUACUGAUGAGCUUGAAUACAGUUGAGGUAGGCGGAAUGUGACAAGUAGCGGUGAAAUGCAUAGAUAUGUCACAGAACACCGAUUGCGAAGGCAGCUUACUAAAGUGUAAUUGACGCUGAGGCACGAAAGCGUGGGGAUCAAACAGGAUUAGAUACCCUGGUAGUCCACGCCCUAAACGAUGAACACUCGAUGUUGGCGAUAUACGGUCAGCGUCUAAGCGAAAGCGUUAAGUGUUCCACCUGGGGAGUACGCCCGCAAGGGUGAAACUCAAAGGAAUUGACGGGGGCCCGCACAAGCGGAGGA
rnacentral:rRNA from 1 species